GACCUUUCCAACUGCAUUCAGAAUAAAUUCCCCCUCCACGUAUAAAUGCAAGCCCAGCAAAACCGAUGCCUAUACAUUAGCAUGCAAACUAGCAUAUUAGACGCUAAAAGGUAACGAUGAAAAACACUUUUGCCCUCUACUUAAUUUGCAUAAGCACUUUCGUUCCUCUUCCUGUUGAUUGAAAUUGAUUUGAAUUCGAUUGCCGAACACGCCAGUCAGCAACAUGUCAGGAAAGCGCACGCUGUUAGCAAAGAGAACGAGUUUGUGUACAGUCUCCAUUAUUUCAAUUUAAUAAAAAGACAAACAAAUCCCAGCUGGUGUCACCUAAAACAUCUCUCUAGUUGCGUGUCACGAGGAGUAAUAAGGCUGCUAACAGCAUCGGGAUGCAGAGAUUUCUGGCAUGGCGACGGCCUCUCGGGGGGGUCUGACGAACAACAGCUUUUUUCUGCAACUUCAUAAUGAUCUCGGAUCUGUGAAACAAACCCCGUAUUCUUCUUAUUAGUUUUAUGUUGUGCUGUAACUGCAACGACCUGCUUGCAAACCGCCGUUUCCCAGAUGGCAAACAUUUGCUUUGAUUGUAGCUGAAGCGAGCAGCCGUUAAUGAGACUUUGAUGAAGGAUAUCCAGAUGCAGAGGCUUCCUGAUGAAGUCGUCUCCACUCUCGUUCCUUCUGCAUGUUUGUCUGUCCUCAAUAUUUCAUCUGCUACCCUCCACUGAAAGAACACACACAAGAGUUGGAGCAGCUCCUAGUGGAGGCCUUGAAUACAAACACAUUUCACCCUCUGUAUCUGCAGUACUCGAAUUACACACGCCGCCUUAAUGCCUACGCUAUCUUAAUUAGCCAUGCUGAAUAAACUGAAGCUCGCUGAAUGACUUGACACUGGGAAACUCUGAAUGAGGCGUUUGGGGUGGUGCUUUUAUUCAUGCUAAAUGUUAGGAAAAGGGGUGAGGAGAGGUCAUCCCAAUGAAAAGUCAAUAAAAGUACAUUUCUUGUUCCUUCUUUUCUGUCUCACUUUCCAUCUCUCUCUCUCUCUUUUUCCGACUUCAAAAGACACAACACCUGGCUUUGAUCCCGAGAUGAAAGAGCAU
rnacentral:lncRNA from 1 species